CCGACGUCAUCAUUCUGAACUCGCCUCAAAUUGAAAGUUCAUUGCUUUGAGCUUUCGAUUGUGACCGCAGAGUCCUGAGGCGAGGAAACCAAAUGACCACAGGGCCACACUGCAGUAUGAUGAUUCACAAAGCGGAGGAGUAUACCUGUGAGAUGUCCAUCACGGAGUCACAGCUCAAGGGACGUGCCGAGGUCAGGUCGUUGAAGCCUAGCAGCGUGGAGAUGAUUCCGUUCUGAUCGAUUCGACGGAUCAUGGUGCCAUCGACGAAGAAGAUGGUGCCAUAUUUGUCCACGGUAAUGCCUAGAGUAGAGGAUGAAAAAAAAAAAGAGGGAAAUGCAUCUCAGACACUCAGUUUUGCCUCCAACACAAAUGAUGUGUUCAAAAUGUAAAGUGCUGCCUAGGAAUUGAGUAAUCUUUGAAAUAUAUGUUUGUAUAAAAUGUUGCCUUUAGAAAUCCCUACUGAUUUGUGAAAGUUUUUGAAGGCAGAAUAAAGGUAUCCUGGGCUGUCCUAAUUAUCCCAUA